AGAGUUUGAUCCUGGCUCAGGAUGAACGCUAGCUACAGGCUUAACACAUGCAAGUCGAGGGGAAACGAUAUUGGAAGCUUGCUUCCGAUAGGCGUCGACCGGCGCACGGGUGAGUAACGCGUAUCCAACCUGCCCACCACUUGGGGAUAACCUUGCGAAAGUAAGACUAAUACCCAAUGAUAUCUCUAGAAGACAUCUGAAAGAGAUUAAAGAUUUAUCGGUGAUGGAUGGGGAUGCGUCUGAUUAGCUUGUUGGCGGGGUAACGGCCCACCAAGGCAACGAUCAGUAGGGGUUCUGAGAGGAAGGUCCCCCACAUUGGAACUGAGACACGGUCCAAACUCCUACGGGAGGCAGCAGUGAGGAAUAUUGGUCAAUGGACGAGAGUCUGAACCAGCCAAGUAGCGUGCAGGAAGACGGCCCUAUGGGUUGUAAACUGCUUUUAUAAGGGAAUAAAGUGAGUCUCGUGAGACUUUUUGCAUGUACCUUAUGAAUAAGGACCGGCUAAUUCCGUGCCAGCAGCCGCGGUAAUACGGAAGGUCCGGGCGUUAUCCGGAUUUAUUGGGUUUAAAGGGAGCGUAGGCCGGAGAUUAAGCGUGUUGUGAAAUGUAGAUGCUCAACAUCUGAACUGCAGCGCGAACUGGUUUCCUUGAGUACGCACAAAGUGGGCGGAAUUCGUGGUGUAGCGGUGAAAUGCUUAGAUAUCACGAAGAACUCCGAUUGCGAAGGCAGCUCACUGGAGCGCAACUGACGCUGAAGCUCGAAAGUGCGGGUAUCGAACAGGAUUAGAUACCCUGGUAGUCCGCACGGUAAACGAUGGAUGCCCGCUGUUGGUCUGAAUAGGUCAGCGGCCAAGCGAAAGCAUUAAGCAUCCCACCUGGGGAGUACGCCGGCAACGGUGAAACUCAAAGGAAUUGACGGGGGCCCG
rnacentral:rRNA from 1 species